rnacentral:rRNA from 1 species
CCGGCUNGAGUGCGGUAGGGGAGACUGGAACUCCUGGUGUAGCGGUGGAAUGCGCAGAUAUCAGGAAGAACACCGGUGGCGAAGGCGGGUCUCUGGGCCGUUACUGACGCUGAGGAGCGAAAGCGUGGGGAGCGAACAGGAUUAGAUACCCUGGUAGUNCACGCCGUAAACGUUGGGCACUAGGUGUGGGGGGCCUUUUCCGGGUCUUCCGCGCCGUAGCUAACGCAUUAAGUGCCCCGCCUGGGGAGUACGGCCGCAAGGCUAAAACUCAAAGGAAUUGACGGGGGCCCGCACAAGCGGCGGAGCAUGCGGAUUAAUUCGAUGCAACGCGAAGAACCUUACCAAGGCUUGACAUGUGCCGGUCGGCUCCGGAGACGGGGUUUCCUCCUUGUGGGGCCGGUUCACAGGUGGUGCAUGGUUGUCGUCAGCUCGUGUCGUGAGAUGUUGGGUUAAGUCCCGCAACGAGCGCAACCCUUGUCCCGUGUUGCCAGCACGUUGUGGUGGGGACUCGCGGGAGACUGCCGGGGUCAACUCGGAGGAAGGUGGGGAUGACGUCAAAUCAUCAUGCCCCUUAUGUCUUGGGCUUCACGCAUGCUACAAUGGCCGGUACAGAGGGCUGCGAUACCGUGAGGUGGAGCGAAUCCCUUAAAGCCGGUCUCAGUUCGGAUCGGUGUCUGCAACUCGACACCGUGAAGUUGGAGUCGCUAGUAAUCGCAGAUCAGCAACGCUGCGGUGAAUACGUUCUCGGGCCUUGUACACACCGCCCGUCACGUCAUGAAAGUCGGCAACACCCGAAGCCCGUGGCCCUACGGGGAGCG